UUGAGGCAUAAACAAAACCACUCUCUCUCUCUCUCUCUUCUCUCCCCUCAUUCAUACGCCCCUCACCUCUCCCUCUCAUCUCUCUCUCUCUUUCUUCCUUAAUCCUCCAUUGUUAACCAUUCUCAAAGCUUCAAAUAUCAUAUCUCCACCAAAGAUCUUCACUAAUUCAAAUCAAAACUUCAUUUCCUUUGAAUCAAGAGCAAGAUUGAUGGAGUUUCAAGCUUGAAGUUAGAGUGAUGAAUUUUUAUUUCUUUCAAAGUCUUUGAGUAAGUGUUCCAAUUACUCGAAUCUAGACUUAUUUGAGUUAUAUAUGAGUAUAUAUGCAUAGAAAUAGCAAGAAAACAUCACCUUUUAACUUCUUCAAAUUUUCAAAAAUUUAGGGUUAUAUGCCCUUCAAAAAAAAUUCUCUUUCUUUUCUUAAAUUGGAGUGGUAUUUAUGCUAUUGGAGAUAUAAUGAGAUGAUUUCUAUGUGUACAGAAAAGUGUUAGAAAGAACUAUGGAUUUUAAGUUAGUUUAGUUUACCUAAAAUUGGGAUAUUUUGAUUCUAGGAGUUAAUUGUUAAAUUGAUGGAUGAUAACUGCUAUUGAGGGUAUUAUUAUGAUAUUGGAUGGAUUGGAUUGAUGAUUGAGAUGGAUUGGUGGAACUUGAUGUGAGUUAGUUUGUUGGAAAUUAGUAAUAUUUGGUUAUGAGCUUAAUUAUAUAAAUUGAUGAUUUAUAUGUGCUAUUGAGAUGUCUAAUACGAUGAAUUAUGAGUGAGAUUGAUGAUUGAAAGUGAUUUGCAAAUUUCGAUGAGAGUUAGUUUGAUGUGAUUUGGGUAAAAACUUAUUCUAUGGUUUGAUUGAUUAUUUGAUUAUUUAUUUAUGCAAUUAGGUGAUUCAAUUUGAUUAAUCUAAGGUUGGAUUAAUGAUUUAUGCAUGUUUGUAAAUUUUCAAAAAGUUUAGUUUGAUAUAAAUUAGGGCUUUUUUAUUCAUGUUGUUUAAAUUAGCUAAGGUUAAUUGUUAUUAAGCAUGAUAGAAAUAAUAAUUCAGGAUCAAUUAGGUUCAUUUUCAAGAAUGCCUAAAAUUGGUUAAGUUUAGUUUACUAAUAAUUGGGGACUUUUAAUUAAUGAGAUAAAUACUUAAAUUGAUGAUAUCUAGGUGUUCAUUAGACUACUAGCUAGGAUGAUGAAAGCAUGAUUAAUUUGGUUAAUGAUGUUGAUUUGUGAAAUUUUCCUGAGUUUAGUUUGCGUGUAUAAAUGAGAUCUUUCAUAUGUAAUGAGUUACGCAAUGAAUAUGAUUAUAUAUGGCUAUUCGAUGACUAAUUGAGCCUAUAUACGCGAAAUGAGAUGAAACAAAUCACCCCCCAAUAUUUCAUGUCAUGACUGAAUACAUAUCAAAGAAGGGGAAGUUGAAUUUUGAUUUUUCUUGUGUUUUGAUCACGUAUUUAUGUUAUUGUGUAAUAUGAGAGUCUAAUGUGAAUUUAUGAGAAUUUUUCAUCAAAGAAGUCUGGAGUUUAAGUAUAUUUACUUUAUGCUCAAGUUAGGAGUUAAUUUGAGAACCUUUUUAAAGGCUACCCACCUACUGUUUUCGAUGGGAUUUUGUUACCCAAAAGUCUUGAACAUUUUAUGGUAAGUAUAUAUGAGAGUCUUGAUUAUACUUGUAAAAUUUCAAGUCAUUUGGAUUUCAGUUACUAUUUUUCCAAAAUAUAGAACUCCAACUGCAACUUUCUACCAAAAAUUUUGAAGGGCAGACACUAGAAUCACACUUUUCAGUAGCUUCCCGUAAAGUUUUACCUUCUAAAGUUUAAUGGUAAAUAACUUAUUUUGCUAACUAGUUACCCACCAAAUUUCAAGCCAUUUCGGAAAUGUUUACUAUUUUUCAAAAAUCAAAACUUUCGGUUGCACAAAACUGCCAGAUAUGGUAGACUAUAGGAGAACAGCCAUAUCUCUUAAACCACUUGGCGAUUUUCAACCUACUUUUUUUAAAAAUGAAACUAGACUCAAAGAGGUUUCCAAUGAUAUGAGUCUCAAACCCAGAAGAGGCUCGAGGUGAGAUGGAUUAAAUUUUUGGUUAAGGACAGUGCAGAAUGGUGUUUGAAUGUGAUAACUUAUAUACUCCCUCCGUCCCCAAAAUAAGUUCCUCUUUGGGGACGGCACGGGUUUUAAGAAAAAGAGAUAAAGUGUAUUGAUAGUGGAGAAAAAUAUGUUAUAAUUAGUAUUGGGAGUGGUGAAAAGGUAAAAAGAUAUUAUAAUUAGUAUUGGGAGUAGUGAAAAAGUGAAAAGUAAGAAUAAAUAAAGUAUUAUUAGUGGUGGGGUAGUUGUCCAAAAAUGGAAAGAAAGAAAGAGGAACUUAUUUGGGGGACGUCCCAAAAAGGAAAAAGAGGAACUUAUUUCAGGGACGGAGGGAGUAUGUGAUUCUAUGUGCCUUAUGUGUCUAUGUAUGUCUAUGUGCUUGAUUGUUAUUAGUCUAACCCUACUAGAGUGAUAAGCGAGAGUAGGAUUUGUGAUUUCUUAGGAUAUAUGUAUACACUUAGGAGAUUGAGAUAGUUGGAGUAUAUAAAAGACGAGUGAUGAGAUAGCAUUGAGAUAGGAAUGAUAUACAUAGUAAGGGAGUUCCUGACUAGUUUCAUUUAUCUUAUCUCAUGAACCACUCAGAUGCUAUGACAUCUGAAGAUACGAGCAGAGGACGGAAGUAAGAUCACCCAAGUACUACGAGAGUAAACUAAGUUCACCAGGUGGGCAUUAUUUUGAUAUACCUAUUAUACGAGCUUUCUUAAAUGAUAUGAUACUUAUGAUUAUGACUUGAGUUAACUUUAUAUUUCAACUAAUUGACUUGCCAAUUUUUAUGAUAAUGAGCUUGUAUGUUACUCUCUACUAAUGAGAUGAGACGAAUUCGGUCCUGUCACAAGCGGCAUUUUGUGCACAGAGGUGACUGUGAGCCGUCUAUCUGGUCAGCCGGCCACGGUACUUGAGAGGGAGGCCUACUCCUGAGUACCUUUGAUGAUUGAGUAGUGGAUGUGGUACAUACAUGAUGAAUGUUUAAACUGCGCAGUUACUUUAUUAUGAUGUUAUGAUUUGCGAAAUUGCAUGCACAAGUUCUUUUCUAACUAAAACCUCUGUGUGUUGCUUAAUGUGACGAGUUCAAUUUAUAGCUCUAAGAGCAGGCUUUCAUUUAUUUUUCGGCAAAUGUCCACUGAGUACUUUGUACUCAGUCAUGCAUGUAUUUCUAAACGUGCAGGAUAAGCAAGGAGGAGGGAGAUCAGUCUGGUGCUGGCGGGGACUUAUUUUGGAUGACGUUAUUUCUUUUACCGUAUUUCUACUUCAUACGGUAGGCUUUUGAGGUUGGAUGUUUAUAUUUUGUACUUAAUCAGGAAAUACACUCUCAGCUAUAUGUCUUCAUACAAAUAGUCUGAUCACGUUUUGCUGCGAGACUCUGUAACUUAUAAACCUUUGUAAAUAUUUAACUAUAUCCGCUUUGUAAAUUUUGUCGAAAAUCCCUGUACUUUUGAACUUAUGAAGCCGAUAAUAUUUGUGUCUUUGAGAUGAUGUUAUUGUUGUUCAUCUUUGCAUGUUUUGUUGUGA
rnacentral:lncRNA from 1 species